GUGCCAGCAGCGGCGGUAAUACGGAGGGUGCAAGCGUUAAUCGGAAUUACUGGGCGUAAAGCGCACGCAGGCGGUUUGUUAAGUCAGAUGUGAAAUCCCCGAGCUUAACUUGGGAACUGCAUUUGAAACUGGCAAGCUAGAGUCUCGUAGAGGGGGUAGAAUUCCAGGUGUAGCGGUGAAAUGCGUAGAGAUCUGGAGGAAUACCGGUGGCGAAGGCGGCCCCCUGGACGAAGACUGACGCUCAGGUGCGAAAGCGUGGGAGCAAACAGGAUUAGAUACCCUGGUAGUCC
rnacentral:rRNA from 1 species